ACGCUCGACACCUACGGGAGCAGCAGUGAGGAAUAUUGGUCAAUGGACGCAAGUCUGAACCAGCCAUGCCGCGUGCAGGAUGACGGCUCUAUGAGUUGUAAACUGCUUUUGUACGAGGGUAAACGCAGAUACGUGUAUCUGUCUGAAAGUAUCGUACGAAUAAGGAUCGGCUAACUCCGUGUCAGCAGCCGCGGUAAUCUGAGCGGGCUGGCAAGGC
rnacentral:rRNA from 1 species